GCUACGGGGUGCAGCAGUGAGGAAUAUUGGUCAAUGGGCGAGAGCCUGAACCAGCCAAGUCGCGUGAAGGAUGACGGCCCUACGGGUUGUAAACUUCUUUUGUCAGGGAGCAAUUGGGUCCACGCGUGGGCUUAGCGAGAGUACCUGAAGAAAAAGCAUCGGCUAACUCCGUGCCAGCAGCCGCGGUAAUACGGAGGAUGCGAGCGUUAUCCGGAUUUCUUGGGUUGAAAGGGUGCGUAGGCGGAAUAUCAAGUCAGCGGUAAAAAGUCGGGGCUCAAACCCGUCGUGCAGUUGAAACUGAUGUUCUUGAGUGGGCGAGAAGUAUGCGGAAUGCGUGGAGUAGCGGUGAAAUGCAUAGAUAUCACGCAGAACCCCGAUUGCGAAGGCAGCAUACCGGCGCCCGACUGACGCUGAAGCACGAAAGCGUGGGUAUCGAACAGGAUUAGAGACCCGUGUAGUC
rnacentral:rRNA from 1 species